rnacentral:rRNA from 1 species
AGGACGAACGCUGGCGGCGUGCUUAACACAUGCAAGUCGAGCGGAAAGGCCCUUCGGGGUACUCGAGCGGCGAACGGGUGAGUAACACGUGAGCAACCUGCCCCUGGCUCUGGGAUAGCCUUCGGAAACGGGGAUUAAUACCGGAUAUUCACUGCUUCCUGCAGUGGGGGGUGGUGGAAAGUUUUCGGCUGGGGUGGGCUCGCGGCCUAUCAGCUUGGUUGGGGGGUGACGGCCCACCAAGGCGACGACGGGUAG